rnacentral:tRNA from 1 species
GCCGGCCUAGCUCAAUUGGUAGAGCAACUGACUUGUAAUCAGUAGGUUGGGGGUUCAAGUCCUCUGGCC